UGGGACUAUACUGGGUAGUUGUUGUUGUUGUAAUAAAUGGAAACAAGUCAAAUUGCAAUAGUCAAGUCAAAUGCUACUCUGGUGAAGUUUCAAGCUGCUAAUGUUUUGAGACUGUAAUUUAUGCUCAAAUUGAAAGAACCAAGACGUAUAAACAUAUAUUUGUCUCGAGGUAGAUAAAACAAUUCUUUGGGCGUUGUUUAUGCUUUGGUUAAUUGAACCCUGUAAUCCUUUGUCUGUCAUGGUAUAGCCGAUGAUUCUAAGGAUGGUUUUCUUCUCUAUGGUGGAAAC
rnacentral:lncRNA from 1 species